ensembl:lncRNA
ACCACUUUCCAGGACAUAUUUUCUCUCCCAGCUGUCAAAAUAUUUAAUGCUUUGAAUUAGCAUUUCAGUUAAGUGCUGUAUUUUGUUUCUGCAGUUUUGAGAAGUCAUACCUUGGUCACAUAAUAGCAGAUUUCUGUGAACUUCUGGGAUAAACCGUGGCUUUAUUCAGGGUACUCAAAGCCUAAAGUGCUGUGAUUUUCAAAAGUGCACUGAGGAGCUCAGGCUGUAAGUUCACCUUCCUGUGUUGGACAUGUGGACGGAAUUAUCACUUUCAAGCUCUAGCUGUGCCUUUUGGGAAGAGAAUGUGAACAGAUGAAAGGAAGGAAAAAUUCCUUUCCAGCUGGAAAGAAAGAGUGGGUGCAGACAUGGGGAUCAGCAGAGCUCAAAAUGAGAGCACUUAUGGGAAAGGGAAGAGCCUUCAUCAAGCUGCGGGUCACCUCUAGCUUGUGCAUUGUGGAAUAAAACUGUCCUGAGGCAAAGGAAGCAGGAGAAGAAAGCAAUGAUGCCCAGAUCAUAGCUAUCUGGGUACUUCAGGUAGCCAGCAGAAAGGAGUUCCAGCAUCAGUGCUCAAGACCAGUGAAUGGAAAGUAGCAGAAGUUGGAAAGAAAGCUACAGGGGGAUCGAUUUGCAGCCAGUGCUAGUUGGAAUAGCAAAAAGGAGAGAAAUCCCUGGAAGCAGCAGGAGAGUUGAGCCUGGCAGGACAGGAGGAGAAAGGACUUGAUAAGAAGAUGCAGCUUUUUCCUUUGCUUUCCUGAUGAGUUGAACUCAAAGCAGCAGCACACUUCUACUGCAGCUAUGAAAGUUGUCUGAAUCUGGACAAGAAAACAUACUAUGAACUUUACAAGUGAUGGGCUUUUGUAUGGACUCGUGAUGGUCAUGUGAUACACAGUUUUGAGGUAAGUUUUGAAUUUGUGCAAAGAAAUUCAGGAACUGUUCAGUUCCUCAAGAAAAGUGAGAGAAACUCAGUGGUGAAUAAAAAGAUACACAUACUUGAAAUAUAUUGCAGCAUGAACAAGAACAUAUGUAAACAACAACACAGCAAAAGCCCCGGCUCAGUCCACCAGUCAGUGUCAUGAACUUCAUGCUGGCUGCUGUCUCUCAGUGUUUAUCUUUUCAUCUUCACUUGUUUGGCACAUGCAUUACUAGACCCUUGCUGGAGAUCUAUGUCUUCAAAAAGACCUCUCCUCCUUGAAUUCCAGAGAAAUGAAGCACUGCAUAGAACAGUUUUUAGGUUAGUAGAACUAAUGUUAAUUUCAGAAGCAGCUACCAAUUUUUGAUCAGAGAACUAAUUUUUCCAAUAAUGCUACAAAAUCACAGUGCACAAGGUGUAUAUUUCAAGACUGCCAAAAGCUUUGUGGACAAAACAAGUGAGAACAGCACUGUGAACAAAAGUUUAUACUGUAAAGAGAGAGGAGACAGCGACUUAAAUAUAUUAGAUUCAGAAAAGGUUUCUAUAACAGUCAGCACAGGUAGAACACUUCCUAUCAAUUUCUGAGUAGGAAUGAAUUUGCAUUACACUUUGCGACCAAAACUGACAGCAGCCAUCCAAGGUAUCUUUGACUGGUCUACUCUUCUAAUGGUCAGCUGUGAGCUCUGGAGGAAGUCGAGAAGCUGUCCUGCUGGUAUAGACCCAGAGUCCAGACAGACUUACUGUUUGCUGUAGCUGUUGUUACUACAAAGAUGUAGGCUUGGCACUCUUCUGUUGAAGUUGCAAUGGGACAUAGAAAUCAAUACACACAGAGUGAC